rnacentral:rRNA from 1 species
UACGUAGGGUGCGAGCGUUGUCCGGAAUUAUUGGGCGUAAAGAGCUUGUAGGCGGUUUGUCGCGUCUGCCGUGAAAAUUCGAGGCUCAACCCCGAGCCUGCAGUGGAUACGGGCAGACUAGAGGUAGGUAGGGGAGAAUGGAAUUCCCGGUGUAGCGGUGAAAUGCGCAGAUAUCGGGAGGAACACCGGUGGCGAAGGCGGUUCUCUGGGCCUUACCUGACGCUGAGGAGCGAAAGCGUGGGGAGCGAACAGG